CCCGUUUCAGCCCGGAACUGACCAGGAUGCCCCGCCUACGCGGCCCGUUUCAGCCCGGAACUGACCAGGAUGCCCCGCCUACGUGGCCCGUUUCAGCCCUGAACUGACCAGGAUGACCCGCCUACGCGGCCGUUUCAGCCCUGAACUGACGAGGAUGCCCCGCCUACGCGGCCCAUUUCAGCCCUGAACUGACCAGGAUGACCCACCUACGCGGGCGGCCCGUUUCAGCCCUGAACUGACGAGGAUGCCCCGCCUGCCCCGCAUAUUUCAACCCUGAACUGACCAGGAUGCCCCGCCUACUCGGCCCGUUUCAGCCCUGAACUGACCAGGAGGCCCCGCCUGCCUGAACUGUUUCAGUCCUGAACUGCCUGGACUGUUUCAGCCCUGAACUGACCAGGACGCACCGCCUGCCUGGACUGUUUCAGUCCUGAUUGAUGCCUGUGCAGCUUUGGGAGGCAUGACCGCACCUCCUCCUCCCUACACACCCCAGUGGGGGAAGAGGAGAGAAAAUACGCCUCUUCCCUGGCUCUUCGCUGGAGUCUUAGUGAUUUGGUGGAGAUUUCCAAGGACAGGCCUCCGGGAGCUCAGCGCCGCCCUCCUGUUACUGGGCAGUUAGGUGUGGGAAGGAACAUACUGACAACCCAUUUUUCUUCAGGAAAAUCCCAUUCACCACCCUUGACCUUAUAUUGCUCAGCCCAGGGGUGUACAUGGGGGAAGUGGUAGUCACAGGGACAGUAAGGCAAGCCCAGUCUGUGUCUAAUGACUAUUUCUUCUUCAGAUAGUUGAGAAUUUAAAUGUGAAUGCAAAUGUUACGCAAAUGAAAUUACUCCUAAGACAAUUUACACAGACCAACUAUUAGAUCAGAACCUCCUGUUUAACACAGCCUGCCCAAAAUAACUGAGACUAUUCCGAUCUUUUGGGCAAGGAUGUCGACACACUGCCAGUGCCUCUGGAGUUAAAGUGGAGCGCUGUCUUUGGGAUUGGGAGCCAGCUCUGGAUAUGAACACGGCUAUCUGGCAGGCUUUGGCCUGCCGGAGAGAAAUGUGUCUUGUCCCAUGAGAAAGACAUCCCCAGGCUCACCUGAGGAGCCAGAAUUGCUGGUGAGGGCCCAGGUGUCUCUAAAUUGAUUGCUGCCUCUGAUAGACUAUUCUAAGCCACGGCCAUCUCGUGGAGAAAUUAAACAUUCUGUGUGAAGGACAUGCAUGUCCUUAACAGAACAGUGAAGUUGCUGAUGCAUUUUUAUUCUCAGCCACCCUCACGGCACCCCAGUACCUACCCCAUGUCCCAGCCUCAUGGGGCCUUGCUCUCAUCUGCCCAUUAGCUAAUCUGGGCUAAGAAGAUGUACUGCACAAAAAGAAAGAAGGAAUUCAGGCUUUUAAAUGAAAUGCCCAAUUUGUAACUGUUGGCUACCAAUGCAAUUAGUUAGAAGGUAGUUCUCAGACAGGUGGGACAGUUCUUCUCCUAACAAGCAUGUGUCAAAGCAUGCUUGUUUCUUCUAACGUUUUGUUUUUCUAAAAAAGUGUGCUUUCUUCUUCUAAGAAAAUCUGGC
rnacentral:lncRNA from 1 species